CAGUAGCCACGGGAAUACGGAGGGGGCUAGCGUUGUUCGGAAUUACUGGGCGUAAAGCGCACGUAGGCGGCUUUGUAAGUUAGAGGUGAAAGCCCGGAGCUCAACUCCGGAAUUGCCUUUAAGACUGCAGAGCUAGCAGGUGAGAGAGGUGAGUGGAAUUCCGAGUGUAGAGGUGAAAUUCGUAGAUAUUCGGAAGAACACCAGUGGCGAAGGCGGCUCACUGGCUCAUACUGGACGCUGAGGUGCGAAAGCGUGGGGAGCAAACAGGAUUAGAUACCCCGGUAGUCCCUGUCUCUUAUAC
rnacentral:rRNA from 1 species